UCGUGCUAGGUGGGGAGGUAGCGGUGCCCUGAACUCGCAAUCCGCUAUAGCGAGGCUGAAUUCCCAUUCGAGGUGUCCGUUCUUAUGGUCUGCCUUACGGGAUUGGUGCUGACGUUUAGGUCCUGCGCAACAGAAACCCAUGAACCCUGUCAGGUCCGGAAGGAAGCAGCAGUAAGUGGUCAUUUCUGUGUGCCGCAGGGUCACCUAAAUUGAGCCAUGAACGUAAGUAACGCAUAGGACCGUACAUCGACAAUGGGUGCACGG
rnacentral:SRP_RNA from 1 species